rnacentral:tRNA from 1 species
GGAGGGUUGGCCGAGUCCGGUAAGGCUCCCGUCUCGAAAACGGGCGACAGGUUCACACCUGCGGGGGUUCGAAUCCCUCACCCUCCGCCA